UAUUGCAUAUAGAAUGUUUAGCAUGUGCUAAGUGCCCAAUAUGUGGUAGCAAUUAUUUUAUUAUUGUUGCUGUUGUUACUGUUAUAUCCAAUGGUCGUUUCUCAUUGUUUGGGGGAAAGUCAGUGUGCAAGAAAAAGCCUAUGAUUGGUGCUAGAGUCGGAGUGAGUUCUGUCUUUGCCCCACCUCCCUGUCCUUGCCCCUCUAGUCCUGCGUUGACCUGAAGGGAAAGGAAUGGAAGACAAGGGUAGGGCAGAGGGCAGGGGACCUGGCAGGCAGCCCUAGGAGACAAACAGGACGACCUACCUAGCUGGUAAUGAGUUGAGCUGUGCUCUAGUGAAACCAUCAACCUCCAAAUUCUCCUAAAAGCUCCUCUAGGGGCACCCUCAUGAGAAGAAUUUGCAGCAGCUUGGCCCCCUGAGUUGAAACACAACACACAACAUGCACACACACACUCACGCACAGAGAAUGACAAGCCAACUGACAGGUGCACAAAGAAAUGAGGCCAACACACAGAUUCAAGCACACGGGUAGAUUUACACAGAUCGACAGAGCAACACGCACAGGCCAAGGACAGGCUGGCACACAGACAGACACACACGAGAUUUGUAUCAAGACUGCCUGCCACACAAAGAAACCAGGACAGGCACCCCUAGACCCAUUCCCAUAGGCAGAAUUGCUGGGUGACAGGCUUAGACGCACAGCAGUGCAAGGACAGGCAUAGACAUGGAAAGUCAAACACACAGUGACAGAUACCCAGACACAGGAACACACACACACACAUACACACACACAAUUCACACUGAGACCAACAGUCAGGCACCCACCAAUGAAAGAAAACUCCUAUAUGGUCACUGAAGGGGAAAAGAGGAGAGAACAAAGUGAGGGAAGGGGGCAGAGGAGACAUAAAAGGAACACAGCGGAGGAGGGCACAGGGAGACAGAGCAGGACAUGCCAGCAGAGGUGCCUGCCAGCAGGGCACAAAAGAGACAGAGGUGCCACAGCCUUCCUCUCGGCCAGUGCCAGAACCCAGAUCUGGGACAAAGGAAAUGUAGGCUGGGUGGCUGUGUGGCGAGGGAGCUGGAGCUGUCCCUGCUGCUGAUCUAUGAGGAGUAGGGACAGAGGCUUUCAUCCUAGGGCCAGACAAGUCCUGCUGUCUUGGGUGGGGGUGGGUGAGGGGCUCCUGGGACUCCUGCCAAGCCCCAUGAAGCAAGGACUGUAUUCUGGAUCAGUCCUGCAGCCUGAGCCCUGGUGAGAUGCACACCCCUCUUCCCACAGGAGAUCCAUCUCUCUGUUUUUGAUGCCUUCAGUACCCAAGGGGUUAAAUGCCUGGCGAAUGGAGAUGGAGGCCACUUUGGGGGAAUAAAUAGGGUUAAAUACAACUGGGCUUAUCUCCCGGAGCAGGCAGCAACAUGGGGGUGGGGCACAGAGCCCUUGAAUUAAUGGCCUGGAAAGCCAACAUCAUGAGCAUCAUUUCGGGGCUGAAUGAUCACAGACAGAACCCCCACUUCCCUUUCCAAAGCGAGUUCUGUCCGUGAGCCUUUUCCUGCUGAAAGGACAGGCACUGGCUCUAGAAAUCAUCCUCCCUCUUCAAGCCGGGGCAUUGCCCCAAACCCAAACCCAAUUUCCUGAUCCUGUGCCCACAGGCACAAGGGAGGAGAGAGGCAGCAAGGUUGAGGGCUCCAAGUGGGCAGCCCAGGCCCAGAACAAAAACCCUGAUUCUUCUGCCUUUGGUGAGAAAAAAUCAGGUGGGACUCUGGAGGGUGUAGGUGCUGCCUCUGCUGACUCGGGGUAAAACAUAGUAAAAUACAAUAAUGACUUUGUAAAUAUUAGCAGUUUACCUUGCUGAGGUAGUGAGCAGCCCACCUCUGGAGGCAUGCAGGUAGAGGCUGGGUAUCCUGUCAGAGAUCAUGUGCGGUGAGUCCUGCCUCAGGGCCAGGGAAGCUGGAUUUCAUGACCUCUGGGCCUCUAGGGUCAAGCCUUCUGUGCACAUGGCUCUAGGAAACGCCAAAGGAACAGGGGACAUGGGGACCCAGGCCUGGUCCUCAGAAGCCUUUGAAACUAGGAAGAGCUGCCUGGAACUGAGAGAGAAGCUCUGGACCAGACUUGGUGGGUUCGUUCAAUGGUUUCUGCCCUCCUGUUAUGCUGGGAAGCAGGGAGCGUGGUGACUUCCCCACUGAGUCCCUAGCACAUAGUAAAUACCCAAUAAACAUUUUUGGGGUUGAAUUAAAUUGAUGUAACAAAACCAUUUCCCCCCAUGAACUUCUAGUACCAUUGGUUGAGGAAACACACACACAAUGGCCAAAAUCCAGCUCUGAAUUCUGUUGCUCUUCCAAAUGGAUUUUCCUUUAUGCUCACAUCACCUUCUACAUAGUUGAAAGCCAGUCAUACAUACCUGUGUGAGAUGUGCUUUUUGUUCAGAGCGGGCUUGGGGUGCACACUCAGGUUCACCACUCUGUACCCCCAGGAAUCUGUGAGUCACCGGUUAUAACAACAGGGAGUGACAGUGUUGGGGAGGCUGUGGUUCCAGUGAGCCCUGUGAUAAGGACCCUGGACUCUAGGAGUGCAAAGGGGCUGUGGGUCUGAUCUCCUGGACCCUGAAACCUGUUGGUGCAGAGCUAACCCUUAUUGAGUACUCUUUGUGUGCCAAGCACUGUUGAGCACUCGGGAUUAUCUUCUUACAUUCGCAUUGUCAUUUUAGGAGGUUGCAGGCAGGAACUGCAGCACUGAACAUGGGGAGGUGGUGAUAGAUGGGCACAAGCAAGGAAAGGGGGAGGUUGGAGGGACAGUUAUGGGGGUCGAGGUGCUGGAUUAUUUGGGCCAGGGAAGCUGGGGGUGAUCCUUGCUAGAAGGAUCAAGGGUUAGCCUUUGCUGGUCAACACCUUCCCUCACACAGAUCUAGGAUAACCUGCCUCGCUGAGUACUGUGGGCCAAAUUGUGCCUCCACCUCCCCAAAUUCAUUAUGAUGAAGCCUUAACCCCCAGUGUAUUUGGAGACAGGGCCUCUAAGGAAGUAAUUACCGUUAAAUGAGGCCAUAAGGGUGGGGCCCUGGUUUGAUAGGAUUAGUGUCUCUAGAAGAAGGGAUUCCAGAAGAGAGCUCACUUGCUCCCUCCGACAUGUGAAGGCACAGUGAGAAGGCCAGGGAGAGAGUCCCCACCAGAAACCAACCCCAACCUGCCAGACCUUGAUCUUGGACCCCCAGCCUCCAGAGCUGUGAGAAAAUAAAUGCCUGUCUUGUAAGGGACCUAGUCUGUGGUGUUUUGUUAUGGCCCUCGAGCUGACUAAGACACCGAAGGCCUCUGCCAGCCCCGGACCAGCACCAGCUCAGGGGCCAAAGAUUCUUCUAGGUCACAACCCCUUUGGACAUCUGAUGAGGCUGAAGAUCCUCUCUUCAGAAACACACACACAAUGUCGUGCCGUUUCAAAUCCUCUGUAGCCCACCCGUGAUGUUUCCCUGGCCUCCAGCCUGAGAGCCCAAUGUAGAACUUUUGUUCUCUUCCAAUUCUGCUGAGAACUGGAUUCAGCAUCCUGUGAGCUUGGGUUGGUUUCAUGCCCAUUCACAGAUAAGGACGCUGGCGUACAGAAAGGUUAAUUAUUUGCCCAUGGUCUUGCAGCUAAACAAUGGCGGACCCAGGAUGCAAACCCCGGAUCAGAGCUGCCCUUAUAACCUCAGCUCUCCAGGUCCAAGCCCAGGACGUCGCAGAGCGCAGUCAGCUCGAUGAGGGCCAGGGCGGCGAUCUUCUUCAGGUCCUGCGAGGACAGGUCUCCAAUCCUCGUCAAGCCAAGUCUGCCUUUGGGGAUCCUAAACUUCUAGGGAGGGAAGCAGAGACAAGCAAGCCAGAUGUCCUAUUAAGAAUUCAUUCCAAGGGAGGGAAAGAGAAAAUCCACAAAGAACCUACGCCAGCCUCUAACCUGACCCACCCCAGCCUCGUCACAGAAACUGGAAGUAAAGAAAGAGCUGCCGGAAGUGUGAGGUUGGCGGACACGCGUGGGCCUCAGCGUUGGCCAUUUCCCUGCAGGAACUGAUUUUCCAGUUGCAAGUUUGCAAGUUCCCCAGUCUCUCUCAGACCUCCAUGUCUUUGCAUAAUUUGUCCCCUCUACUAAGGCUGGGCUUCCCCAGUCCCAGCCACACAUCCCUUCUACGGCCGAUCUGGCCCAUGAUUGCUGCACUCGAGACGGUCUUAAAAUGAGACUAGGGCCC